GAUGAUCGCUGGCGGCUUGCCUAAUACAUGCAAUUCUAGCGAAGGGACGUGAAGCUUGCUUCUCUGAUGUUAGCGGCGGACGGGCGAUUUACACGUAGAUAACCUACCUAUAAGCCUGGGAUAACAUCGGCACACCUGAUCUAAUACCUGAUAAUAUUUUCAACCUCAUGGUUCAAAAUUGCAAGACGGUCUUGCUAUCACUUAUAGAUGUAUCCGCUCUGCAUUAUGUAGUUGGUAAGGUAACGGCUUACCAAUGCAACGAUUCAUAGCCGACCUGUGAGGGUGAUCGGCAACAUCGGAACUGAGACACGGUACAGAAUGCUAAGGGAGGAAGCAGUAGGGAAUCUUCAGGAAUGGGCGAAAGUAUGACGGUGCAAACCCGCGUGAGUGAUGAAGGUCUUCGGAUCGUAAAACUCUGUUAGUAGGGAAGAACAUAUGUGUAAGUAACUGUGCACAUCUUGACGGUGCCUAAUCAGAAAGCCACGGAUAACUACGUG
rnacentral:rRNA from 1 species